rnacentral:lncRNA from 1 species
AUAACCACUAUAAAAAUUUAUAUUAACUAGUGAAAUCAGUGAAAAAAAAAAAUUUAUUUAUUAAAAAAACGGUGAGCUAAUUAAAUAUCAAGUAAAAUAACAAUGGCUUCGGUCCCAAGAUAGCUAAGGCAUAAAACCUUAUUUGAACGACUAAAACAACGUUGUAAAUGAACAAUGGACAGACAUGGCUCGACAGAUUCGUGGGUUUCUUUUCAAAAUGGAGGAGGUGGCAUGCCUUGGCCUGGGCCGUGUCGGCCGGAGAAACAAUCUCGGAAUAAGCAACAACAGCACAGGCAGUAGAAGCUGCAUUUCCCAGUCAUCAUGAAUUAAAAUUUAGAAUUAGAAACUAACUACAGCAUAUAAAAAUCAUUAUUGAUUAAUUGAUAAACACUUUCAUCAUUUUAUGCACCGGUUUUUUUCUCUAAAUAAUAAUACUUACCAUGAAGAUAAAAGACCGCAUAUACCAUCUGCACACCCACCAAAAAACCCGCCAGGCCCAAAGAAACCAGGUCCUCCAGGACCCCAACCAGGUCCCCCAGGCCCAGGACCCCAACCAGGUCCCCCAGGCCCAGGUCCCCAACCAGGUCCCCCAGGCCCAGGACCCCAACCCGGUCCCCCAGGUCCAGGACUCCCUGGUCCGCCAGGUCCCAUGUUAACUGGCUUCCUUUUUACAAUACCACAGUUUGCAGAGGCACAGAGAAACAACUUUCGCACCGCAACGAAGGCAACGAAAACUAAAAUUUGAGACGAAAUCUAUGGCUCCUGUCCUAUGGUUGUGAAGAAAUAGGUGGCUCCUAUUUAGAGGAAGUAACAUUCAGCAACUUUCCUUCUUAUCGAAGCGAAAGAAGUGCAUGUUUUACUAAUCAACAUGAUCUUGCCAACAA